rnacentral:rRNA from 1 species
GAUCUGGCUCAGGAUGAACGCUAGCUACAGGCUUAACACAUGCAAGUCGAGGGGAAACGAUAUUGGAAGCUUGCUUCCGAUAGGCGUCGACCGGCGCACGGGUGAGUAACGCGUAUCCAACCUGCCCAUCACUUGGGAAUAACCUUGCGAAAGUAAGACUAAUGCCCAAUGACAUUUAUAGAAGGCAUCUGAAAUGAAUUAAAGAUUUAUCGGUGAUGGAUGGGGAUGCGU